CAUGGAGCACCAAUUGGGAAACGCUGUCGUAGAGGAUUUAAUGGAUCGACUUCAGAAAUUCUCCAAAUGAGCAAUAGAGCUGAUAUGGCCACCACAGAGAAGACACUGGAGAGGAGCAGAGUUGGAGACAACCUACUAAUCAUACCGCACCCAGAAGAACUGUUUAGCGUAUUGCAUAGUGCCCAGCUAACCCUUGCAGUCUCUGAACCAUGGGGAUUAAUGAUUGAAUUAACACAUCUCUGCACAACUGAUUUCUGUGUUUAUUAAAGCGCAAGCCCUGAUCUAUUUUUCUACACAUCAACGGGCAACAGGCCAGCUAAGUCUUCUCCUUAAACGUGACGCCUAUUAUACUGUGAAAGCCUCAGUGCCUUUCCCUCCCUCCGCCUCCUCCGAGCAGCUGACUCUCCUCUCAGAUCUGUGUCAAACACUUGGAGAAUGUGCCAAAUGCUAACAACAUUUUCUCAACAACCAGAAUUCUCACAACUGAAAUGAGUAGCAAAAGACUCAACAAGACUAUGGUGCAUUUUAGAAACAGGUGCAUAACUAAAAUAUCCUACCAAGUCCCAUUCAUUAAAGUCAUUCAUUUACCACAUUUUUUAGUAAAUGAAAGGAAUGGCAGUGGAAAGCUUAGUUCUUUUUUGUUGCAUGUUUUGUGUGUACAGGUUGCUUUAAAAGGAAUGUUGGCUAUAACAAGAAGGUGCAAGGACCUUCUCUGUGAGAAAAUGCUAACAGGCUCUUUUUAAUCUAGUAGAGAAAAGCAUAACAACGAAUCAAGGUCUGCCACGGAAAGCCAAACGGGAAAUAAGGAAUAACCUUUUGAACUGGAGGAUUAAGCUUUGAAAGAAACUAGCAAGCAAAGUGCUGGAUCCUUCAUCGCUUGAAGCCUUUAAGACUAGAUGUCUUUCUGGGAAGACAUAGUUUAUUUAGACACAAUUUAUUGGAUUGAAUACAGGAGAACCUGGAUGAAAUUCUAUGGUCUUGUUACACAGGAGAUCAGAUCAGAUGGUCCCUUCUUGCCAGGUCUGAGGAUGUAUGUGUGGGGGAGAUAAAGGGCACAAUUACUCCAGGGCCUGGUGACUCCAAGGGGACCAGGGUUCUUGGCUGCCACUGCUGCUAAUGCAACAGCAUCAGCAGCUAGAGUCCCAGGUCCUUCCAAUCUCUGCCACAGUGCUGUGCCACACACUCUAAGGGGUUCUGAGUUGUUUUGGACAAGGAACUGAUCCUUCUGUGGCACAAAGCCCUCCCCAUCUUUCCCGAGGGUCAUGGUGGCUAUCGGCCCCCGCUGCUUCUGGCCUUAAAAUCUAUGAAUAUAUGAAUAAUUUAAUCUAUCAACACAACAAAGUUUGGUCCUAAAGACCACUUUAGUAAGAAAUGUAAUGCCUGUUCCCACAUUGGACACGUGACAUUUACUCAAUCACCUGCAAUAAAAUAUAUUAUCAUUAUGCAUCUUAUUUCUCUGAGGCAUUAAAGGAGCGGGCCAGAGAAAGUCUGACAAAGUCGUAUUUCAUCAGACCACACAGUUUUAUCAAUAUCAAAAGACUUUGCAAAAGAGGGUUCCUUUCAUAGAAAUUUAUUUCAGAAAAAAGG